CCGCGGUAAAACGUAGGAAGCGAGCGUUAUCCGGAUUUACUGGGCGUAAAGCGUGUGUAGGCGGUUUGAUAAGUUGGAUGUGAAAGCUCCUGGCUUAACUGGGAGAGGUCGUUCAAAACUAUCAGACUUGAGAGUGGUAGAGGGAGGUGGGAUUCCGGGUGUAGUGGUGAAAUGCGUAGAUAUCCGGAGGAACACCAGUGGCGAAAGCGGCCUCCUGGCCCAUUUCUGACGCUCAGACACGAAAGCUAAGGUAGCAAACGG
rnacentral:rRNA from 1 species